rnacentral:piRNA from 1 species
UUUCUCGAUUGUUAAGUACCAUU